rnacentral:rRNA from 1 species
UGGGGAAUAUUGGACAAUGGGCGAAAGCCUGAUCCAGCCAUGCCGCGUGUGUGAAGAAGGUCUUCGGAUUGUAAAGCACUUUAAGUUGGGAGGAAGGGCAGUAAGCGAGUACCUUGCUGUUUUGACGUUACCGACAGAAUAAGCACCGGCUAACUCUGUGCCAGCAGCCGCGGUAAUACAGAGGGUGCAAGCGUUAAUCGGAAUUACUGGGCGUAAAGCGCGCGUAGGUGGUUCGUUAAGUUGAAUGUGAAAGCCCCGGGCUCAACCUGGGAACUGCAUCCAAAACUGGCGAGCUAGAGUAGGGCAGAGGGUGGCGGAAUUUCCUGUGUAGCGGUGAAAUGCGUAGAUAUAGGAAGGAACACCAGUGGCGAAGGCGACCACCUGGGCUCAUACUGACACUGAGGUGCGAAAGCGUGGGGAGCAAACAGG